GAGUGGACAUCUCUGUCUUGUUCCUGAGCUUAGGGAGUUUUCAAAUGAGAUGGGCGUUUCUGUGGUUUGAGGGAAAGAAAUUAAUGGGGAAAGAAACUGGGGAUAUGUAUAAGACAAAGGAUAAUUGACAGAGAUGGAUCCAGGGGAGACAGGAAAAAAGGAGGCCACUUCUUCUGGCGAUGGGAGGGAACAAAAACAACUCUGACUGAUGUGGAAAGAAGACAGAACCCUCCUCCCACUUUCAAGGUGUUACAACUGAACUCAAGGUGCAGCUGGAGUAACACCCUCCUGCACAAGUGUCCAGUCAGCACCCCUUUCCCACCUCGAGGGCCCCGCCUGAGCCCAGAGACGCCGCGAACAACAAAGAUGGCUUGGGCAGAGUUGGAGUUUAUUUGCUGCAGUUCCUUGGCGCUAGUUUACAAGGCAAAAACAAACAAACAAAAACAAUUAGAAUAAUUAUUUCUUAAAAACCCUGUCAACAACUUUCAGUCAUUUCUUUAUAUUUUUGUGUUUUGACAAAACUUCUUUUAAACAAAUACAAAAUAAUCUAAAAGGAGAAAAACUAUACAUAGAUUAUUUACACCUCUGAUAAAUAGACUAAUACUGACCCAGGUGCCUCUCUGUCUAGGAAACACUUGAGAACCAGGCCAGGGCCCGGGCCAGCUGGACAGGCUCCAGCGCCAGCCCAAACACGCCCAGACCUCGGCAGGCACCACCUGGUUCUCCCACCCAGAAAGUUCAGGUUUCCAGCCUGGACCCUCUUCUGUCACCCUCACAAGCUCUGGCACAAAAGUGCCUAAAGCCAUUCCCUCCAGGUAGGAUCUACACAAAGUGGCGGGGAGGGAGGUGACAGACUGUCCCCCUCUAUUCCUCCCACCAUUCCUCUGCAAAAGCUAUUUCCAGAGAUGCUCGCCAACCCUAAAGGAUCAGAGGAGCCGUGGCGACGCGGCCCUGUGAAAACCCGCAGCUCCUCC
rnacentral:lncRNA from 1 species